rnacentral:misc_RNA from 1 species
CAUGGGGCUACCCGCGCUCCGUCCGCCCUACGCUCACGUCUCUGCACACACCCCUCUCUCACCCACGCCCUCUCGCCAUCUCUGUGUUUGAUAGCUGUUUCCUUUGGCGUUCUCUGCUUCGCCAUCUCGUUGCCCACCUUACGCACCCCUAACCCAUACAAGCAUGUGCGGCGGACAAGGGUGACUGCCAGCAGCAUCCACACCCACGCAUCGCGGGCCAAAGCGCUGAACGACCAACAGGUGCCGCCUUGAGACCGCUGCGAACGAAACAAAAAAAGGGAGAAAUGGGGAAGCCAUGCGUGCCACCUUUCUCUGGUUACGCACUUCGCGCAAAGGACCGGGUAGCUGGUCAGAGCCGGUUCUGCUCUACUCCCAACAUCGCAUGCGCAAUGUCGGCCACGGGCCUGGCAUGGUUGGCAGCAGCCCCACCGCCCCCAGUGGGUCGCCGGCUUUUCGGCAAAGUGGCAGCGGCAUCCGGGCAGCGCAGCUGGGUACACCCCCCAUCGGAGCCUCCUCGGUCUUCUACGACGGCGCCGACAACGCUACGCAGCAUGCUCCCUACGGCCCGGGCGCGCUGAGCGGGGGCUGGGGCGACGAUGCUCCGGACCCUUCUCUGUACAGCUGGAAGGCUGACCCGUCGCGCAAUCGCCCGCCGCCAUACAUGCAGCCGUCGCUGUCGGGAUUGCGUGGCAAUGGGGAGAGUAGCCUGCCCCAGAAUGCAAAGCGCGUAGAGACGGCCUCGCGGCCUAUCGAAGAGUCGGGUGGGAGGAGCAGUGCCAGCGGCGACUCCAAGGGCGGCACCACAAAUACGAACUGGCUCGGCGGUCCGGCAGGUGGCGCCAUCCCCGACACGCUCGAGCGCGCCACGUUGCAGCACGCCUUCGGCACAGGCGACUUCUCCAUGGUAGAUCGACAGCAGCUGACUCUCACGCGGUUGAUGCAGCUCAUGCUGGACGCCACGCUGAAGCCGCGCGACCCCGACAGCCGAGGGUUCGGUGGUGACGGCGCCACAAAACUCGCGGAGCAGCGCGAGGAGCUCAAGCUGAUGGACCAGCGCGUCGUACCGUUCCAGCACGACGACGUGAUGAACGACUACCUGAAGAACAUCGACAGGCUACACAGCCCAAGCGGAGCGCUGUGCCAGCGCGACGUGCUCAAGGGCCGCCUGGUUGGGCUACUCUUCUUCACAGAGUCGGAGCGCUCCCUCACCUUCAUGCGAUAUCUGCAGCGUUUUCACAAGCGGCACAGCCCUGACUUCGUCGUCGUCGCCGUGUCGCUCGCCGCGAAGGAGAUGAUGGACAUUACGCGCUCCUUUGGCUUCUUUCACUGCACGCACCGCGACGGGGCGUCGUGGGUGUCGCGCGAUGCUGGGCUGAUGCUGCGCCCUUUCGUUGCACUGCCCCGCCUAAUUGUGGUGAACGGCACAAGCGGAAUCGAGGUCACCCGUGGCGGGGUAACGGCCGUCAUGGCGAACCCGGACACGUGCUUCCAGGCGUGGCGGCGCGGCGAGGGUGGGUACCGGUACCGCGACUGGCUCAAAUCCAUGUACAUGUGAAGGGACGGCGUGAGGUCGGUCGGAGGUUGAAGGCUGCGAAAGGCGGAGGGAGGUUCGGAAAGCUGGUGAGACCGCUAAGACGUACACACCCGGCAGGAGGAGGGGCCGGCAUGAUGCAGUCCCGAUCUUUUUCCUUUGCUAUCGUAGGCGUAUUGUGUCUCCGCUUCUCAUCGUUGUUCCCCCUCCAUCCAUUGUGCGCGUGCUCUCUCGCCGUCUACUUGUGUGAGCUUCCUUGGCAGCUUCCUCGCCCGUUUCCCGUCCAACAGCAACGCCCCCACGCGUACGCACAUAUACGAGUAAUCGACGGCCCAUCACCGACUCUCGUUCUCCGGCAUGGUUUCGUUCUUUGUGUGUGUGUGUGUGUGAACUGGCGCCGGACCCCUCCCCCCCCCCCCCCCCCCGUGUUCCCCUUUCCCCCAAUUCUCCGUGACGAGAGAGC